rfam:Dipodomys ordii contig_55817, whole genome shotgun sequence.
GAGAAAGUGGCUCAGUGGUAGAGCACUUGCCUUGCAUGCAUGAGGCCCUGGGUUCCAUUCCUCAGUAUCA